AAAUUCUCAACUGCUUUGGGCUUGAUCCCUCUUGCCCAAAGUGAAGUUGGAUUUGGAGGAAAAUGCUGGCGCUCCUCAGGGGGGCUUGUCAGCACCUCUCAAAGGCAAUCCGAUGCCUUUGUCUUUGGCAGAAGUUAUCUCAGACGUGAUAAUAAACCUAAUUUUUUGCGUCUCGGAGGCUGCCCUUGCAAAUGGCAUAGUGGAACACCGUACCGCUGACCA
rnacentral:misc_RNA from 1 species